UACAGGGGGUGCAAACGUUGCUCGGAAUCAUUGGGCGUAAAGCGCACGUAGGCGGUUCGUUAUGUCGGAUGUGAAAGCCCUUGGCUUAACCGAGGAAGUGCAUCCGAAACUGGCGAGCUAGAGUACGAAAGAGGAUCGCGGAAUUCCCGGUGUAGAGGUGAAAUUCGUAGAUAUCGGGAGGAACACCGGUGGCGAAGGCGGCUCGCUGGGCCGGUCCUGACGCUGAGACGCGAAGGCGUGGGGAGCGAACGGG
rnacentral:rRNA from 1 species